rnacentral:rRNA from 1 species
UGAAUGUCAAAACGACUCUCGGCAACGGAUAUCUCGGCUCUCGCAUCGAUGAAGAACGUAAGCGAAAUGCGAUACUUGGUGUGAAUUGCAGAAUCCCGUGAACCAUCAGAGUCUUUGAACGCAAGUUGCGCCUGAAGCCCUUCGGGCCGAGGGCACGCCUGCCUGGGCGUCACGCAUCG